rnacentral:piRNA from 1 species
UAAAAUUGACAUUUCUACAUGUGAAGAUGC